rnacentral:tRNA from 1 species
GGCCUCGUGGCUCAGUUGGCUAGAGCGUUGGCUGUACUAAAGACUUCCCCUUGCUGGCGUGGGUUUGAAUCCCACUGAGGUCA